AAUAAGCUAAUUAAGAGCGUAAGGUGGAUGCCUUGGCUCUCAGAGGCGAUGAAGGACGUGAUAAGCUGCGAUAAGCUACGGGGAUUGGCACACACAAUUUGAUCCGUAGAUUUCCGAAUGGGGAAACCCACUAUAUUGAAGAUAUAGUAUCCGUUAAGGAAGCAAACCCAGGGAACUGAAACAUCUAAGUACCUGGAGGAAUAGAAAACAAAAGUGAUUCCGCUAGUAGUGGCGAGCGAACGCGGAUCAGCCCAAA
rnacentral:rRNA from 1 species